GAUGAACGCUGGCGGCGUGCCUAAUACAUGCAAGUCGAGCGAACAGACGAGGAGCUUGCUCCUCUGACGUUAGCGGCGGACGGGUGAGUAACGCGUGGAUAACCUACCUAUAAGACUGGGAUAACUUCGGGAGACCGGAGCUAAUACCGGAUAAUAUAUUGAACCGCAUGGUUCAAUAGUGAAAGACGGUUUUGCUGUCACUUAUAGAUGGAUCCGCGCCGCAUUAGCUAGUUGGUAAGGUAACGGCUUACCAAGGCAACGAUGCGUAGCCGACCUGAGAGGGUGAUCGGCCACACUGGAACUGAGACACGGUCCAGACUCCUACGGGCGGCAGCAGUAGGGAAUCUUCCGCAAUGGGCGAAAGCCUGACGGAGCAACGCCGCGUGAGUGAUGAAGGUCUUCGGAUCGUAAAACUCUGUUAUUAGGGAAGAACAAAUGUGUAAGUAACUAUGCACGUCUUGACGGUACCUAAUCAGAAAGCCACGGCUAACUACGUG
rnacentral:rRNA from 1 species